UGCUUGCCCAUGAAGGAUUAACAUCU
rnacentral:piRNA from 1 species